ensembl:lncRNA
GAAAGCACUUGUGCAGAAACUUUUUUCCACACUCAGGGCAACUAAAUGAUUUGUUGACAGUCUUAACAUCUGAAUCAGAAGUCCUAAUUUCAUUCCACUGAUUGUCUUCAUCUUUGUUUUUUGUUUCAGCCCAAGAGUCCAACAGCCCAGAGUCUAGAUUCACAUCAUCAUCAUCAUCAUCAUCAUCAUCUCCACUAACUUCAGUCUCUGAAGAAUCAGAUGUUUGUUCAUGAGGGUUCAGAUCUGGGUUCCUGCUAGUUCCUGCUCCUCCACCAGUUUCUGCUGCCAUCUGGUCAGCUGAGCUGCUGGUUGGAACAUCUCUGUCUUCUAUUUGCUGCUGAUGAAGCUGUGAGACCAGAGGUUUCUCUUCAUCAUCCUCACUCUUUAUAGAAACAGCAGUAACAGGAAACCCGACAGCUUCAGUCUCCUCCUUCAAACAGAGAUGCUCUCCCUCCAGACUGGUCCAGAGCUCCUCCUGUUCCUCCUUUAUGUGGAGGUGUUCUGGGUCCUGCUGGUCCACACCAGCACUCUGUUCUUCAGGAGCUUCUUCUUUAACCAGCACCAGCUGUGGAACAGUCUCUUAUAUACAAAAAAACGAUAUAAACACACAAUCUUGGACCGAUACAUGACAGGAUACCACAGAACAGCGAUACGCCCUCUGUUGUCCUGGCGGGGAAUUGCAUUGCAACACUCUCCAGGAGACGAAGAAGUAUGAGAGCAAAACGCUUCCGUCAAUCCCUUGCGGAGCUGACGGAGAAGCAUGAACCAGGCUUAACGAGCAGCCAGUGAUCUCUCCAUAUCCAUAUAAGCCGGAAGCGGCAGCAUGUUUGUUUACAUCGAGCGGUGCGCUCCGUGAUCCACGUGAAAAGGGUGUUGUGGGAAAUUAUGUUCCCCUGAAAUAUUCAGUUUCCCUUAGACAGUCAAGGGCAAAUAUUUCGAAAUCUACAGAACUUAUUGUCCAUUAUGAGGACUAAACUAUCUCAAAUAAAAGAUGGUGAAACUGAGUGAGAUUACAUUCUUUUACAUAACUUUCAUAAAUGAUAUAUAAGCUUGCUGCAAAAGUUGAACAAGAAUGUUUUUACUGUAUCCUUUUAUUGUUUUAGGAGGAAAUACAGAUUAAAAAAAUAACAAGCAUAACAUUAUUACAUUACAUCAUUUUACUGUAAAAGUUAAUCACAAAUAUUGUGAAAAUAGCCUGAAGUGCAAUCUCCCGACACGGGGGGACAGAAUAUUGCUGGGGAACACGAUUUCUCACAACACCGGACCUCCCGGCUGACGUCAACCCUCUUCCGUGUGUGAAUGGUGACAGCUAACAGAACUAGCAUGCUUCCUUCAGGAGUGGUAGGUUAAUAAACAGUCAUAAUUAUAAAUGCUUUAUUUAAAAGUUAGAGUAGCUUGUUUUAAGCUUCGUGUGGGUUAGGCUCAAGCCCCCGCCAUGCAGGACAGAAAUUGAGUCCAAUGCGGAAGUGACAAAAAUUGCAGUUCCACCCUCAUCCACUAGGGGCUGGUAUCAGAAGCGAGCAAAUCCCCAUCGACUCCCAUGUUAAAAAAUACCAAUUUAACAGCAGAAAUAAACAUGUUAACGGCCUGGUACCAAAUCAUGUUUUUGGUUUAAAUUAUCUAGUUUACACUCAUGACAACUUUGAGGGGGGUGAAUUUUUUUCUCACUCUUCUGUUUAAGUGUAUUAAAAGCCUAAAAUUCAGUAUAAUUAAUGAGCAUCAGACCCACGUGACCACAGAGCUAGCUCCGGGGAAAGGCCUCAGUAGAGCCUCGGUCUGGCUUGGAAACUGCUCUGGGAUUUUGAGUCUCUGUGUUUGUGUAUUCUUUUUUGGAUAUUUUUUGUGCAAUUGUUGGACAAAAUGACUUGCUGUGGCAUUAAUUGCACUAAUAGAGCGUCCAAGGAGUCUCCACUUCAUUUUUUUCGGUAAGUAAAAUUAUAUUUAUGUAUUUUAGGUCACUGCCGAGCUGAGCUUAGAUUUUAACAUGUACUGUUUAACCAUGAAAUUUAAAUGUAAUAGGGUAAAACCCAGUGCAUUUAACAUAAUGCUGCACUUUAGAAAAUGGGUUGAAAUAUAACAUGUUGGUGGAGCUGGGUUCCGACUAUCGGCUUGUGGAGCUCUCGGGAGACCGAUGUUUUCCACCCG